GAGUAACACGUAGCUAACCUGCCCUCUUGACAGGAAUAACCAUCCGAAAGGGUGGCUAAUGCCCGAUGUUGUGCGGAGUUGAUGACUCCGUACCAAAGGCGGUCUUGCCGCCACAAGGGGAGGGGGCUGCGUCCUAUUAGCUUGUUGGUAGGGUAAUGGCCUACCAAGGCAGUAAUGGGUAGCUGGUCUGAGAGGACGAUCAGCCGCAUUGGGACUGAGAUACGGCCCAG
rnacentral:rRNA from 1 species